GUGGGGAAUUUUGGACAAUGGGCGCAAGCCUGAUCCAGCAAUGCCGCGUGCAGGAAGAAGGCCUUCGGGUUGUAAACUGCUUUUGUACGGAACGAAACGGUCCGGGUUAAUACCCUGGGCUAAUGACGGUACCGUAAGAAUAAGCACCGGCUAACUACGUGCCAGCAGCCGCGGUAAUACGAAGGGUGCAAGCGUUAAUCGGAAUUACUGGGCGUAAAGCGCGCGUAGGUGGUUUUGUAAGUUGGAGGUGAAAUCCCCGGGCUCAACCUGGGAACUGCCUCCAAAACUGCAGGACUAGAGUACGGUAGAGGGGGAUGGAAUUCCGCGUGUAGCAGUGAAAUGCGUAGAUAUGCGGAGGAACACCGAUGGCGAAGGCAAUCCCCUGGACCUGUACUGACGCUCAUGCACGAAAGCGUGGGGAGCAAACAGGAUUAGAAACCCGUGUAGUCC
rnacentral:rRNA from 1 species